AGAGAGAGUCACAGAGGGGGGGAGUCUCAGACGGACAGAGAGAAGAAAAAGAAGAAGAGAAAAAGAAAGGAAGAAAAGAAGAGGAAGAAGAAGAAGAAAAAGGAAGGGAAGCCCGGUUGCGCUGCCAGCUGAAGGAAAAAGUGUAGAUCUCCUUCUCCUCUACGCAAGGACCUCGAUUUCCAAAAAGAAAAAGGUAAAUGUCCAUCCCUAUCUAGUCUUUUGAUGAUAUUAGGCUAUACAAAGAGUGGAUGUAGUCUAGAGGGGUCGGAUAAGGGUUGUAGAGGUGGUUAAAAGAGGAAGAAUCGGAUUUCAACAAAUUUUUCCGGCACUACGGAAAAACUGUGUCGAAGUCCCAACUUCGGCGAAUUAUUUAGGGGGUCAAACGGCCUCCGAUGAUGAUGCAUGUUACCUCUUUGGAAUCCUCUAUGAGUGUAGAAUGUUAAGGUAAAAAUUUCAUCAAAUUUG
rnacentral:lncRNA from 1 species